UGGAAUCUCCCGGGGAGACCUCCAGAAGGCUCCUCGCACUUGUAGGAUGUAAGUGACCGGCGCGGCAUCGCUGGGCGUUCUUCCUGCUCGUCCCAGAAAGGGCUGCUACCCCACCCCGGGCGGGCGCUGGACCAUAGUCUGGAGGUCGAAGGCCGCCCUCCCCCAGGACACGGCAGCAGCCAGCAGAGCGGAUGCCUCUCGGCCAGGACAUCCGGGUCUCCAGGGUUGGGGGAAGCAGGGGGCCGGGAGACGGACCUUGGGUCUCAGCCAACAAAUGGCUCCCGGGUGCCUCAGGCCUGCAGCACCCAGAGAAGCAGGAGAGCUGGCCUCGUGCCGGGCGUGCCUGGAGAGGCCUGUGCUGUCGGCUCCGUCCCAGCAGGAGACAGACAGAGACCCGCCCGCCCAGUCAGGAGGGGUUAAUGGGGGGCCGCUCCCGGACACGGUGGUAGCCGGUCAUCACUCAAAGGCGGCCAAGGCAGGUCUUCUUCCGCGACAGCUGCUGCGGGAGGGGGAGAGCCAGGGAGACCCGAGCCCUGCUCCCCACGCCAAGGCAGGAGGCUCCGGAAGGCUGGGCGCCCCAAAGGAAGGGCACAGGGCAGGGCUGGGGCCGUGAGGCCGGGCCACCCGGGCGAGCUAACUGGACGUGCCGGAGGCACCCUGCGGACAGGAGGCCGUGUUGUGCCUGGAGCGAGGGGCCCGGAGGGUAGGCCCUGACCUCCCCCGGGACAGGACGGGACGGGACGGGAAGGGGAGAGCGUGGGGCGCCCUGAGCGUUUGCUCCCUGGUCCUCAGGGCAACGGCGCGGGGCAGGGAGGUUUACGUCUGAAGGUGAAGGGCGGAGGAUUUGUAAUCACAAGCCGGCUAGAGAAACCGCCCUGAGAGGGGCUCUGGGGGGCCCCCGCCUAUCGCCAGGCGGGGCUGGAACAGGCAGGGGCCAGCAGAGCAGGGUCAGGCUCACUGUGGGGUUUGGACAGAGCCCUUGGUCCCAGAGUCUGCAGUUCUCACCACCCUGCGGAAGGAGCUGGGGGACAAGGGCCGUCCUGCUAGCUGCCCCCUGGCGUGGCCCAUAGGGGCACGGAGCCCCUGAAGCGGGGUCACCGGAGCUAGAGAGCAAAGGGAAGCCAACCUGCACAGAAGCUGCCAGAGGGAACUUGGGAAGGUCACAGCAGAGUGGGAAGGCGGGGAAUUUCCAAGGGGCAUCGCUGCACUACAGGGGAGGUCCCCCGCAGCACGCGUGGCCCGUGCUCUCACUCUCCCAGGGCCGUGCUGAGUCGCCCUAAAGGCCUGGAGCUCGGGGUGGGGCGUGGUUUGGAAAGGAAGCCCCAAGAUGAACUUUGGGAAGGAAAAAGAGCUGAAGUGAAAACGAGGCGCCCCCAGCAAAGCAACCAUGCAAUCAACCGCUUGAAACAGACAGAAAGAUGGACAGAAUAGUGAAAAGAAGGCCCACGUGCCCGUCCCUAAACCGUGCAGCCUCGGGCGUCCUGCGCAUCCUAGCCGGGGGCCCAUCCGCGGUGAUAUCCGUGGGCCAGGCCGUGUUCUGGGCGCUGCACGUGUGGUAACUCGAAUGUCACAUCAAACCAGGAGGAAACACUGCCGCAGUAGGUGGCAGAGCUAGAGGGGCCGGGCUGUGGUAUCCCGGGCCUGCAGCCCCUGCCUUCCACGGGAUGGCUCUCAGGACGUCACCCAGGUGCACCAUUUCUGGCUGCAGUGAAUCUUCCGUCCACGUUUCUCUGCGCUCUGGUUCUGGUGCGAGACCCUCGGGCGUAUGUUUGGGGCUGGAACGGCUACAUCGAGGAGGAAGGAGGCCCUGCUUUCCCAGAUCUUCCCUUUGUUCCCAACCCCCACCCAUGGGUGUGCGGUCACAGGUCCACGGCGAGUGUAAGUGCUGCCCUUCAGGGGUGCGAGGGGUCCCGUGUGGUUCAGCCUACGCCUCCCUGACCACUGGGGGGGGGGGGGUCCAGCCCCAGCACAUGCGUGUUAGCCGCGGGAGCUUCCUCUGCAGAAGUGUUGUAACUUCCCUCCCUUUUCGAAUUUGUUGCUGGCCUUCUGUUUAUUGAUUCCUGGACUUUCUUUAUAUAAGUCGGCGGCACUCAUUUUUUUGGUGGUGUUAUUCAUUACCAAAGUCUUCUCAUUUCUGUUCGUUUUUUCCCUUUAUUUUUGUGUCUUUUGAUGCACAGAAUUUUUGUCAUUGAAUGGAACUGAAUGUAUUCAUCAUUUCCUUUGUGGUUUGGGACACUGUGUGCCUUGCUAAGAAAUCCGUUCCCUUCCUGAAGUCAUAACUGAUUCUCUCACACUGUAUUUUGAAAAUUGUAAUGUUUAGCUUUGAACCGAAAUCCACCUGGAACUGAAUCUGGGGGAUGGCAAAUAGAAGUAAGUAUCCUAGGGCUUCCCUGGUGGCGCAGUGGUUGAGAGUACUGCAAAAAAAAAAAAAAAAAAAAAAGAAGGAAGUAUCCUAUUUUAUUUUACGUUUUCUGCCUGGGGAACAGGUCACCCCAGGACCAUUUGAAGAUCCUGCCCUUCCCCACUGGUCAGCAGGGCCCCCAGGGUCACCGCAGGCCUCCUGACGUGACGUGCGGGGUCUGCUUCUGGGCCCUUAUCUCGUGCGGUUGGCCCACCGGCCCCGCGUUUCUGAAGGCUGUGGCGUCACAAGUGGUCCAGGCAUCUGGUAAGGCAAGCCCUUGUUUUGUAUUCUUCAAAUUUUUCUUGGUUAUUCAACAACCUUUAUUCUUCCACGCGGAUUUUAGAAUCAGCUCCUCAGUACUAUUUAAAAGCCCACGAAACCUGUUGGAACUUUCACUGGCACGAGGCUGGAUGAACUCGGGAGGACCGCCGUUUCCAGCAUCGAUUCUUCCCGUGUGUGAACGUACUGUUCCUCCUCUCACGUAAUCCUCUUUCGUGUCUUACAAUAAAGUUUUAUGAUUUUUCCGUA